GAUGAACGCUGGCGGCGUGCCUAAUACAUGCAAGUCGAGCGAACGGACGCUAAGCUUGCUUUUCUGAUGUUAGCGGCGGACGGGUGAGUAACACGUGGAUAACCUACCUAUAAGACUGGGAUAACUUCGGGACACCGGAGCUAAUACCGGAUAAUAUUUUGAACCGCAUGGUUCAAAAGUGAAAGUCGGUCUUGCUGUCACUUAUAGAUGCAUCCGCGCUGCAUUAGCUGGUUGGUAGGGUAACGGCUUACCAAGGCGACGAUGCAUAGCCGACGUGAGAGGGUGAUAGGCCACACUGGAACUGAGACACGGUCCAGACUCCUACGGGAGGCAGCAGUAGGGAAUCUUCCGCAAUGGGCGAAAGCCUGACGGAGCAACGCCGCGUGAGUGAUGAAGGUCUUCGGAUCGUAAAACUCUGUUAUUGGGGAAGAACAGAUGUGUAAGGAACUGUGCACAUCUUGACGGUACCUAAUCAGAAAGCCACGGCUAACUACGUG
rnacentral:rRNA from 1 species